UACCCCAAACCGACACAGGUGGUCAGGUAGAGAAUACUCAGGCGCUUGAGAGAACUCGGGUGAAGGAACUAGGCAAAAUGGUGCCGUAACUUCGGGAGAAGGCACGCUGGCGGUAGGUAAAGUCCCUCGCGGACAGAGCUGAAGCCAGUCGAAGAUACCAGCUGGCUGCAACUGUUUAUUAAAAACACAGCACUGUGCAAACACGAAAGUGGACGUAUACGGUGUGACGCCUGCCCGGUGCUGGAAGGUUAAUUGAUGGGGUCAGCCGUAAGGCGAAGCUCCUGAUCGAAGCCCCAGUAAACGGCGGCCGUAACUAUAACGGUCCUAAGGUAGCGAAAUUCCUUGUCGGGUAAGUUCCGACCUGCACGAAUGGCGUAAUGAUGGCCAGGCUGUCUCCACCCGAGACUCAGUGAAAUUGAACUC
rnacentral:rRNA from 1 species